rnacentral:rRNA from 1 species
AUGACGUCAAAUCAUCAUGCCCCUUAUGACCUGGGCUACACACGUGCUACAAUGGUGACUACAAAGAGAAGCGAAGCUGUGAAGUGGAGCAAAUCUCAAAAAGGUCAUCUCAGUUCGGAUUGUAGUCUGCAACUCGACUACAUGAAGCUGGAAUCGCUAGUAAUCGCGAAUCAGAAUGUCGUGGUGAAUACGUUCCCGGGUCUUGUACACACCGCCCGUCACACCAUGGGAGUUGGAUAUGCCCGAAGUCAGUGACCCAACCGUAAGGAGGGAGCUGCCGAAGGUGGAGCCGAUAACUGGGGUGAAGUCGUAACAAGGUAGCCGUAUCGGAAGGUGCGGCUGGAUCACCUCCUUUCUAAGGAA